GUGUAGCUGGAAGGAGAAUUCAGCUCUUUCGCACGGUGUUGCCGGGGCAUCAGUCUGUGGAGUAUGCUUUCAUACAGCAUCAAGAUCACCAGUAUUGGGGUAACCCGGUAUUGGCCUUGAGCUCCACGGUCUAUGGUAUGUUCCAGGAUACUCUAGGCAACAUUCGUGUGGGGAGUGCAUUUUCUCAUCUUCCGUGCUCGAGUCUCGACCAGUGUGGUGGAGUAUUGAGAGAAUACUCGUAUACAGUGAUCAUAGAAAGGUAUGCUAACACCAUACCUGAUCUACACUUGGUUAUCAAUGCUACUGUACAUCCUUGCGGUGAAUAGACUAGCAGUGAGCCGAGUUAGGCAGCUAUGAUCACAUACACACUGGACAAGAAUCUCUGCGUAUGCAGGGUCAACACAGUGCCAGGUAAGGUACUUAUGUGUGCCCGAGUAGUGUAUUCGCUAUUGAAUGCUGUUUCUGUACUCAGUGCAGGAACGAUUCAUGGUUAUACUACUCUUUGGUGGUUCACACUAGUAUAUCUUGCUUCGGUUAUCAUGACUGUUGAUGUGAUUCGGAGGCAAGUAGAUCGGUACUCUAUCCGACCCGUCUUGAAACACGGACCAAGGAGUCUUACAUGUAUGCAAGCCCGAACAGUCUUUGGAUUAGGGCUCGGUAAGGCGAAAUGAAAGAAAAUACUGGGUAUGAUGCGGUCUAUAUCUACUUCACUGUGCUCGCAAGAGUGCUCAAUGUGGAGACACCGCAAUAUACGCCCCCGGAUAAUCCUCUUUAUAGAGAUAACCGCGGAGCUAUAGUAUAUAUGUUAGACCCGAAAGAUGGUGAACUAUGCCCGGGCAGAUGAAGCCAGAGGAAACUCUGGUGGAGGUCUGUAGCGAUUCUGACGUGCAAAUCGAUCGUCAGAUCCGAUAGGGGCGAAAGACUAAUCGAAC
rnacentral:rRNA from 1 species